AUCAUUCAUCAUGUUUUAGUGGGAAAAAUAAUCGCAUAUUAAAUCGCAAUCGCAAUAUUGAGGAGAAAAAUCGCAAUUAGAUUAUUUUCCAAAAUCGUUCAGCCCUA